AGAUAUCAGGCAUCGAGACAGACUCUACAAAACCAGAACGUGGAUCAGAACACACCUGUACCUGAUCACUUAGGAAGAGACGUCCACGCGGAGGAGACUGCUCUGCCGACAGUGCGUCCACCAGACAGAAAACAGCUGUCCUUGGUCUGCCCUACAUCAUGCUACGCUGACACGGGAAGACACCAAGGCUCUUGUAGAGUAAGAGCAAUCAAGGUCUAUAUUUAGCGAGGGAAACAAUAAAAAACACGAUGUGAC
rnacentral:lncRNA from 1 species